UACAGAGGGUGCGAGCGUUAAUCGGAAUUACUGGGCGUAAAGCGUGCGUAGACGGUAGCGUAAGUCAGAUGUGAAAGCCCCGGGCUCAACCUGGGAACUGCAUUUGAGACUGCUCUGCUCGGGUGCGGAAGAGGGAAGCGGAAUUGCGAGUGUAGAGGUGAAAUUCGUAGAUAUUCGCAAGAACACCAGUGGCGAAGGCGGCUCACUGGCCCGGUACUGACGCUGAGGUGCGAAAGCGUGGGGAGCAAACAGG
rnacentral:rRNA from 1 species